UCCCAGCAAAAAGUGUAAGGGUAGAUGGAUUUUUCACCUCCAUUUUACAGCUUUUACAUGAAAGCAGAAUCCAUAUCAAAACACAUAUAACAUAAUGUGAGUGAUAGGAAUUGUGGAUUUCAGGGAAGCAGUUUGUAAUGCAUUAUAUAUGCUACUGUACUUCUCAUUUGUAUGUUUGAGAGUUAUGCAGUUAGUUAUUUAUAGUAACUUUGGCACUGAGGAGGAUGGCUCCAGCUGAACCCUGGGAGCAGAAGGUGCUCUUUGUCCCUGAAGCAGGAAUGCAUUUAUGGCACUUUGUCAUCGGUGAGAAAAACCUGCUGUGUGAAGCUGGGCUCCCCCCGGAACCCCAGAGCUGAUGGAAGGAAGGUCCUGGAACCUGGGCACAAAGCAGCCUUAAGCUUUUUGUUGGAGGCAGAGCGAAGUGUGACAGCUGUAAUGGGAGAGUGGGUAAAUGUGACCAAAAGCCCGGCCUGAAGUUCACAGCGAAACUGAAGUGCUGCACCACUUUCAAGGAGGAGAAUUUGGGCCAAGGAUUCAGCGACGGACAUCUGAAGAACUCAGAAAAAAACAACAACCAAGGGAUGGGGAAAACAGAACAAAGGAAGAGACCGGCUCCCUUUCACAGCCACCUCCUUCUCUUACGGCUCCUCAGCAGACACGUGAGCGAGCUCCUGCGGGGUGGGUGCCACGCGCACUGAGAGCAGAGUGCUGCAGACCCGUGCUCCGAGCAGGCGGCAGACGGACAGGAGCAGCGCUGCCUGACUCCGGGCUGACCCAGGAACCCAAGAUUUUUGGCAUAGUGGUCUUGACCUCUCCUUUCUGUCCUGUCAGCUGUUAUUUCCCAGUGCCCUUGGAUAGGCUGAAUUUGCUCUUCCUCGCGGCCUUUAUAUAGUUCCCCCCUCCCCAUACUUCUGUUAGGCUUUUAGAUCUUUGGGCGAAUCUUGGAACUGCGGAUUAAAAUCCCACAUCUCAGCUUUUAUGAAAAGAUUUGCCGAGGUCUGGGUGUUGCUGGAAGCCUGAUAUUCUGCACCAUUUACUGGCUGUGAA
ensembl:lncRNA